rnacentral:rRNA from 1 species
AUUCCAGCUCCAAUAGCGUAUAUUAAAGUUGUUGCGGUAAAAAAGCUCGUAGUUGGAUUUCUGUUGAGAACGACCGGUCCACACAACGUGUGCGCAUCUGGUUCGGUCUCGGCAUCCUCUCGAAAGACGACUCUGCGCUUGAUUGCGUGGAUCGGAUUCCGGGACUUUUACUUUGAGGAAAUUAGAGUGUUCACGGCAGGCUAUCGCCAGGAUACAUUAGCAUGGAAUAAUACUAUAGGAUCUUGACCCUAUUUUGUUGGUUUCUAGGAGCAAGAUAAUGAUUAAUAGGGACAAUUGGGGGCAUUCGUAUCAACACGUCAGAGGUGGAAUUCUUGGAUUGUGUUGCGACGAACUACUGCGAAAGCAUUUGCCAAGGAUGUUUUCAUUG